rnacentral:rRNA from 1 species
AGUACAUACGGGGGGCAGCAGUGAGGAAUAUUGGUCAAUGGGCGCGAGCCUGAACCAGCCAAGUCGCGUGAGGGAAGACGGUCCUACGGAUUGUAAACCUCUUUUGUCGGGGAGCAAAAGACGCCACGUGUGGCGUUCCGAGAGUACCCGAAGAAAAAGCAUCGGCUAACUCCGUGCCAGCAGCCGCGGUAAUACGGAGGAUGCGCGCGUUAUCUGGAUUUAUUGGGUUUAAAGGGUGUGCAGGCGGAAGAUCAAGUCAGCGGUAAAAUGGAGAGGCUCAA